ensembl:lncRNA
GUCAAACCCCGUAAGGCUCCGCUCCCGGUCCGCCAUACCUGUCAAGGCCGGGCUGCCUGUCAAACACGGCGCGGCAAAGGCCGCGGUAGUUACUCUGUCGCCUGGCUGCGGCGCAGUCUGUGCCCUGAAGUGAAGUGAAGUAAAAGCCGCUCAGUCGUGUCCGACUUUUUGCGACCCCAUGCACUAUACAGUCCAUGGUAUUCUCCAGGCCAGAAUACUGGAGUGGGUAGCCUUUCUCUCAGGGGAUCUUCCCAAUCCAGGGAUCGAACCCAGGUCUCCCCGCAUUGCGGGCGGAUUCUUUACCAGCUGAGCCGCAAGGAGAACCCGUCUGUGCCCUAAGGGGACUUAAGCAGCUCUCUGUCGAAGUGUGGAGAUUAGGGGAAUAUGAAGGUUAAGACUAUCAUCUGCAAGCCUCAGCCCUGAGUCAAUCUCAUCGCGUUGGGGCGUGUGUCCCUGGGGGACGGGCCGGGCCCCGGCAGUGGGCGCAGAGAAUAGCGGUGCGUAAGGAGCGUGUGUCCAAGACGAGCGGUGUGGCGGGGGCGUGGCCCCGGCAGUCCCCGUCCCCCCAGGAUCUGCAGAAAUGGCUUGGCCUUGCUGGAAACGCCUUCACUUGCCUUUCCCCUCCCACUAAAAAUGGCCUGGAGUCUGAAAGUCAUGGAUCGAGGUGCCAGCAGACUUCAUUUCAAGGUGUGGGCACGCUGCCUUUUCUCUGAAGAAAGGCUGCUCAUUGGACGGAUGUUCUUGAAACGAUUAAGCAGAACAAAGGGAAGCCAGUGCCUUGUGUGCAAGACACACAGAAAGGUGCAGAGAGCCCAGGGCAAGUCUUCCUUUGGGUUUGGGCAGAGAAGAAGCCAUGCUGGGAAGGGAAGAGGAAGCUGGCAAGGAGGGCACCACCCACAUGGGCCCAGCUGAGGCCUGGUGAGGGGGAGGCUGCUUCUGGAACACCAGCCAGGAUUCACCUUGCCAUUCGAGCCUCCCUCCUGGUGUAGAAGCAACAGCUGGCGCUGGGAUGAAGGACUCGGCCUCUCUCCUGCACAGGUUCAGAGGACAGCUGUGAACUGAGCUGCCAGGAAGUCUCUGUUUCAGGACUAGGGUGGCUGUGGCUACUGGGCCUAAAGGAAAGCACAGCCUCGGAUCUGUUCUUCCCACUCUCACUUGAAUUACAUGUUAAAAGCACAUGGUCGCUUUGCCGAGUAGCUGGAAUCAGCCGUGGAAACUUCCUGAGCCCUUUGUGUUCCAAGGUUCCAGGAGAGGAGUAAGUUCUCCUUCUGUCAUCUGAAAAACUGCACUUGAGCAGUGGAUUCAAGGCCCCUCAGGUCUGUAAACGUCCUAAUCCCCAGGACCUGUGAAGAGGUUACCUUCCACGGUGAAGAAACUGCUCAGGCAAAAUUUCCAGGUCACCGAUAUUUGCCCUGCAGGAAAGCCUGGUGUGAGGGGAGCGGAUGGUUUUAACACUUGAGAUACAGAAGAACAUCCCUGAAAACAACGUGCUCCACAACAAGGGAAGCCACCAAAAUGAGAAGGCUGCGUGUGGCAAUGAAAACCCGGCACAACUGAUAAU